AUGUGUUGCUGGCAGGCCGUUCCCAUCGACGUGUGGCCAUCAGCACAGCGACCCCUCCUUGCCCGGAGUCGACCAUGGCGUCCACCCCCGGCCUGCCUGCUGGAUCUCUAUCCACGGCGGACGGCGACGCGACGCGACCGGACGGAUCGGCAUGGCCGCCGCCGUCGCACGCCAAAUCAGGGCCGGAUGGGGAUAUGCCUUUCUCUUCCCAAGUCAAAAGGAACGCACUCCAGAGAGGGGUCGAUCACUCGUGGCUUGCGUUAGGCUGGCUCCUGUAGUUUUCCGGCCAAGAACGCAGGUCUUGAAGGCAGGCAUGGAGGAGGAUGCUGGAAGGCUUGUGCAUCACUUAUUCACCUCAGAUGUUGCUCUCAGGCAGUGAACUUGCUUUCCAUCAGGUCUUUCCGGACUGAAAGUUUCCCUGGCGUUUAGACGGCGAGUCUGAAUCGGGUGGAUUGAGGAUUGAACCAUCAGGAAUCGCCAUUAGACUUCGUUUGGAUAAAUCCAUUCCAUCACAAUAUGUAUGGAUUGAGGAGGGGAAAAUGAAUUAAAUUUCCACCUCAAUCCCCGGGGCUGGGUAUAUGAAUUAAUAUUUGCUUAUUUCAGAGUAGUGCUCGACUCUGUCACAAGCUUCUCACAACAAAACA